rnacentral:lncRNA from 10 species
UGCAUUAUCUAGUUAAUUUGUAGAUGCUGCUAAAUUUGCAGAUGAGGAAACUGGGGCUUGGAGACAUUCACUUAUCAGUCUAAGGCCAGAGAAUAGUGGCAAAAUUAGCAUUCAAACUUGGGCCUGAUUUUAAAAUUCAUGGGCUUAGCAAGUUUGCUACAAGGACUCUUGCGCUAACUCUGGGUUCAUAAAUGAGUCAUCCAACACCUUUUGCCUUCAUGCCCUCACCCAUUGGAUAGAUGAAUCCAUUCCUACUCACAUCUCAAGGCUAAAUGAAAGAACGCGUGUUUGUGAACAGGCAUCAGAAUACAUAUAACUGGAAGGGGUGCCAUAAUUCAUUUAUUGUGUUCUGGCUCCCCACCAGCCUAACAGGGCCUGUUAUUAUGUGACCUCCCAUUGCUUAAGCCUCUGAUAAGACAGUAAGUCUGUAUACAAGGUGACCAUGAACUGCUACCUGCUUUCCAAUUGCUGUUGGAAGAGCUCCUUAUACCUUACGAGGCUAAGAAGAUAGAAGAGGUAUUUCGCUCUGGUUUUGAGCAAUUUGUUCUACUCUGUGAACUUCUGUGUCUGCUUAUCCAGUUUCAUGAAAAUUAGAUUAACGAGUACUAAUUGGUGCUGACUCCGCUAGCUUAAAAUGGAUGGUGUCAAAUGGAAGAGGAGCCCACCAGUGUGAUGUUUGGAUCCCAAAGCUGCUGGGAAUUAAGUUUCUGCAUGGAUGUCGAUAUCAUAGGUUACUUGUGGCAGCUUGCUCCAAGCUACUUUUAUGGAACACAGUGUCACCCCCACAGAUCUUUGAAAGGAGGAAGGAUGCUUUUUCCAAAGAGGAUUUGCUUCAGAUGAUUUGGUCAAAAUGCUCAUUCAUUCGAGGAAUCUUUUUUGAGCACCUAUUAGAUGCCAGGCUCUGUUUUGGACUCAGGGGUACCAGUGGUGAAUAAAACAGGCAAAGUUCCAUCCACAUUAAGCAUACAUUCUACCUAAGGUUGGUAGACAAUAAUGAAGUAAAUAUAUAAUGUCAAGCAGCAUUUCCAUCUGAUACUUGUAUAUUGAUUAAAUAUGAGAUAAACACAUAUUUUAAAAAUGCUUUGUUGAGAUAUAAUUCAUAUACCAUAGAAUUCAUCCAUUGAAAAUAUACAAAUCAGUGGGUUUUGGUAUAUUGAGUUGUGUAAUUAUCACCACAGUCAAUUUUAUAACAUUUUCAUCACUCCAAAAAGAAACUCAGCAAUCUUUAGUUAUCACCCUCCUAUACCCCAUACCCUACCUCCAGUCCUAGACAACCACAAAUCUACUUUAUAUAUAGAUUUGUCUAUUCUGGAUAGAGAAAAUAUCAUCUUUUGAGAGUGAGGAGGCAUGGGAGGAGACUUUACUGUCCUCACCUCCCAGAUGAGGCAUUUUGGAUUUAGUUUUCCUUGGAGCUCCCUCUAAGAUCCAGACUUUUAAUCGCUUCACAGGCUCAGUUUCUGGGGGAUAGUAGGGGUGCUGGCCAGUGUCCUGAUACAGAUCCUCUUUUUUACCACUUUACCUUUCACCUCUAAGUCCUACUUGAGAUAACAGGUGCAGAGCCAGUCAGCAACUGAGAGUAAAUAUGCAUAUAUGGAAACAGAAGACACUCCAGUCAGCUGUGCAGUCACAUCUCCAAGCAAUAAAUAAGCACAUCAUGUUUAUAGAAGCCUCACUGUAGUCCAAAUUACUGUAAUCUCUUACCUGGACUGUUUUAGUAGCCUGGUCUCCGGUCUCCCCAUGUUUCAUCUUGCCUCUCUUUCAGCCUGUUCUUCCCAAGAUACCACAAUAAAUGUUUCAAAGUGUGAAUCUGUCCAUGUCACUCUCAUGCUGAUGAAAAUCCCACAUAGUCCUCAAGGUAGUCAAGGCUUUCCUUUAUAGCCCCUGAGGGCCUGCAAAACCUGAUCCCUGGAAGCCUUUCCGGCAUCAUCUGUCACUAUUCUUCCUCCAGUGUCUAAAUCACUUUUAAUUCCUGCGAAGUGUCACAUAAUCUCUAGCCGGCCUUUGCCCUCUCUGGAACAUUCUUUCCUACCUGCAUUGCCUGACUAGCUUCCAUAUGCCCUUCAGGUCCUAGAUUAGAGAUGACUUCCUUUAGUGGGAGGCCUUCCUUGUUUCUUCAGGAUGUGGUUAGGUACCUGUAUUAGCUUUCUACUGCUGCUUAACAAAUCACCCCAAACUUAACACCUUAAAACAACAAACAUUUCACAUUUUCUGUGGGUCAGGAAUUCAGGAGUGGUUUAGUUGUAUGCUUCUGGAUCAAGGUCUCUCAUGAGUUGUAGUCAUGGUGUUGGCCAGAGCUGCUGUCAUCUGAAAGCUUGACUGGGGCUGGAGGGUCUGCCUUGAAGAUGGUACAUUCCCAUGGGUGUUGGCAGAGGGCCUCAGUUCCUCAUCUCGUGGGCCUCUUCAUAGGACUAUUUAAUGCCCUUACAACCUGACAGUUGACUUCUCCCGUGAUAAGGUUUGUGUGUCCCCACCCAAAUCUCAUCUCCAAUUGUAGCUCCCAUAAUUGCCACAUGUCAUGGGAGGGACCUAGUGGGAG